rnacentral:piRNA from 1 species
UGCAGCAUUGUGUACUGGAUGACGGGCCUU